rnacentral:tRNA from 1 species
UCUCCUAUGGCGCAAUUGGUGGCGCGUCUGACUGUUAAUAUCAGAAGGUUGUUAGUUCGAGCCUAACUGGGAGAG